AGAGUUUGAUCCUGGCUCAGGACGAACGCUGGCGGCGUGCUUAAUACAUGCAAGUCGAACGAGGUCCAUCCGAUCUUCGGAUUGGUGAAGACCUAGUGGCGAACGGGUGCGUAACACGUGAGAAACCUGCCCCGGUCUCUGGAAUAACAGUUGGAAACGGCUGCUAAUACCGGAUGCCGUCGGACCAUCGCAUGGUGGACCGACGAAAGGGUUACCGGACCGGGAGGGUCUCGCGGCCUAUCAGCUUGUUGGUGAGGUAACGGCUCACCAAGGCAUCGACGGGUAGCUGGUCUGAGAGGAUGAUCAGCCACACUGGGACUGAGACACGGCCCAGACUCCUACGGGAGGCAGCAGUAGGGAAUAUUGCACAAUGGGCGAAAGCCUGAUGCAGCAACGCCACGUGCGGGAAGAAGGCCCUAGGGUUGUAAACCGCUUUCAGCAGGGAAGAAAAUGACGGUACCUGCAGAAGAAGGUGCGGCCAACUACGUGCCAGCAGCCGCGGUGACACGUAGGCACCAAGCGUUGUCCGGAUUUAUUGGGCGUAAAGAGCUCGUAGGCGGUUCAGUAAGUCGGGUGUGAAAACUCUGGGCUCAACCCAGAGACGCCACUCGAUACUGCUGUGACUAGAGUGCGGUAGGGGAGCGGGGAAUUCCUAGUGUAGCGGUGAAAUGCGCAGAUAUUAGGAGGAACACCAGUGGCGAAGGCGCCGCUCUGGGCCGUAACUGACGCUGAGGAGCGAAAGCGUGGGUAGCAAACAGGAUUAGAUACCCUGGUAGUCCACGCCGUAAACGUUGGGCACUAGUGUGGGUCUCAACCAACGAGAUCCGCGCCGUCGCUAACGCAUUAAGUGCCCCGCCUGGGGAGUACGGCCGCAAGGCUAAAACUCAAAGGAAUUGACGG
rnacentral:rRNA from 1 species